GUCCCUUUGCUAAUCUAAAAAUAAAGAUCUGAGAGCCUCAAUUCAUGAAAGCACCAGUUUGGUGCACAUAUAUUUUGCUUCAACAGGUGGUCUGAGAUGGGCAAAAGAAAAAGGAAAAAAAGUUGAGAUAGAGAGAGAAGAGACCUAAGAGGUCGCGGCCUGUGUACCUUAAUCCAACAAGUAACCAGAGUGCCAAAAGAAAUAAACGGGUCCGAGAGAGGAAGAACACCCGAUAUGGUGAAAAUAUCUCCAAGAAGAAAGGAAAGCUGAGAUGGGGUGUGGAGCCAAGAAGGAAG
rnacentral:lncRNA from 1 species